CUGGGAUCAUUUACAGAAUAAAAGAGUAGGAGACUGGCUCUCUUAAACAAGCUUUGUAUUGGAUUUAAUAAAUUGUUGAUGAUGGUGUAUAUAGGUUAAUGUGGAGGUAGGCAUAAGCUCAAGUGCAUCAUAUGAUUUGACAAUAUAAUAAGAAAGAAAUACUUCUUUUCCUAUUUUAAGUCCCUUGUAUCAUUCUAUAGUUGUAUCUGACUAAAAUAUGUACAUUCACUAUCAUCAAUAAUUGAAAUUGCC
rnacentral:lncRNA from 1 species